GUGGCCGCCACUGAGACUGUUAUUAUAUAUGUCUGAGCGAAAAAGAGGCUUUUAGGUGUGGGUUUUGAAACUGUGUCGACAACCUGAUUGGGCUGAUUUUAGUUGAAUGCAUAGGUUAGGUGGGGUUGCAGUGUUGGGUGUUGUUAGCUGUUGUCUCUAAGGAACACAACGUGUGCAUAUGUUGAAGAACUGCUGAUAUUCCUUCACAACAACUGGUAAGUGAUUUCUUUGAUUUUCUGGACAUUUUACUCCUCUUGAGGGUCCAUUUUGCAUAAAUAGGCCAACUGUCAAUCUUUUUGCACUCUCUUUGUGCGUGUCCGGGAACAGAUACCCAUGCUGAACCUCGCUGAUGGAAAUGGGUAAGAUUUCUUGGCGACUGAAGAGAAUGAGAAAACAUUCCAUCUUUUGUCUGUAUAUAAUUGGAAAAGCUCAUUAUGAACUUCAAUUUUUAAACAAUACAAUUCAGGUUAUUGUUAAUCAAAUAUUGUUAAGGAUGUUUAUGUUCUCUACAUCCCAGGGAAAGUGAAGGCUUAUUUCAGUAUGGUACCACCACAGAGAAGCUGAUGAUUUACGUGUUGUGGUUCAACAUUUUCAUGGGGAGAAACGUGAGAUAAUUGGACAUAGUAAAGGUCCAUUUUCUUCGUUGCUAAGUGUCUACAAAAUGAAAGAACAAAAAAUAAAUAAAUGAAAUUAGACAGCAUUUUGGAAAUAUGUGGAUUUUGAGUGGAGCACUUUGUAGCGAGCUAUAGAUGUAAUUUUACAUGAAAAUUUCUGUAUAUUAGAAUUUUUAUUUUCUCUUACAUAGUCUUUUGUUGGCAUUCAAAUAGCAUCAAUGUUUGCCUUUUUUUUAUCAUGAAAAUUCUCUAUAUUAA